rnacentral:rRNA from 1 species
GAUGAACGCUGGCGGCGUGCCUAAUACAUGCAAGUCGAGCGAACAGACGAGGAGCUUGCUCCUCUGACGUUAGCGGCGGACGGGUGAGUAACACGUGGAUAACCUACCUAUAAGACUGGGAUAACUUCGGGAAACCGGAGCUAAUACCGGAUAAUAUAUUGAACCGCAUGGUUCAAUAGUGAAAGACGGUUUUGCUGUCACUUAUAGAUGGAUCCGCGCCGCAUUAGCUAGUUGGUAAGGUAACGGCUUACCAAGGCAACGAUGCGUAGCCGACAUGAGAGGGUGAUCGGCCACACGGGAACUGAGACACGGUCCAGACUCCUACGGGAGGCAGCAGUAGGGAAUCUUCCGCAAUGGGCGAAAGCUUGACGGAGCAACGCCGCGUGAGUGAUGAAGGUCUUCGGAUCGUAAAACUCUGUUAUUAGGGAAGAACAAAUGUGUAAGUAACUAUGCACGUCUUGACGGUACCUAAUCAGAAAGCCACGGCUAACUACGUG